CACGUAGGGCGCAAGCGUUGUCCGGAAUUAUUGGGCGUAAAGAGCUCGUAGGCGGUCUGUUGCGUCUGCUGUGAAAAACUCGGGGCUUAACCCCCGAGCCUGCAGUGGAUACGGGCAGACUGGAGUACUGCAGGGGGAGACUGGAAUUCCUGGUGUAGCGGUGGAAUGCGCAGAUAUCAGGAGGAACACCGGUGGCGAAGGCGGGUCUCUGGGCAGUAACUGACGCUGAGGAGCGAAAGCGUGGGGAGCGAACAGG
rnacentral:rRNA from 1 species